GACGACGCUGGCGGCGUGCCUAACACAUGCAAGUCGAACGGAGUAGAGACUUCGGUUGAUUUUGAAAGUGGAGAGCGGCGGACGGGUGAGUAACGCGUGAGUAACCUGCCCAUAAGAGGGGGAUAACAACCGGAAACGGUUGCUAAUACCGCAUAUUAUGCUUUUGUCGCAUGACAGAGGUAUGAAAGAUUUAUCGCUUAUGGAUGGACUCGCGUCCAAUUAGCUAGUAGGUGAGGUAACGGCCCACCUAGGCGACGAUUGGUAGCCGAACUGAGAGGUUGAUCGGCCACAUUGGGACUGAGACACGGCCCAGACUCCUACGGGAGGCAGCAGUGGGGGAUAUUGCACAAUGGAGGAAACUCUGAUGCAGCAACGCCGCGUGAGGGAAGAAGGUUUUCGGAUUGUAAACCUCUGUUUUUAGUGAAGAAACAAAUGACGGUAGCUAAAGAGGAAGCCACGGCUAACUACGUG
rnacentral:rRNA from 1 species